UACGUAGGGUGCGAGCGUUGUCCGGAAUUACUGGGCGUAAAGAGUUCGUAGGCGGUUUGUCACGUCGACUGUGAAAACCCGUGGCUCAACCAUGUGGUCUGCAGUCGAUACGGGCAGGCUAGAAUUCGGUAGGGGAGACUGGAAUUCCUGGUGUAGCGGUGAAAUGCGCAGAUAUCAGGAGGAACACCGGUGGCGAAGGCGGUUCUCUGGGCAUUACCUGACGCUGAGGAGCGAAAGCGUGGGGAGCAAACAGG
rnacentral:rRNA from 1 species